GAUGAACGCUAGCGACAGGCUUAACACAUGCAAGUCGAGGGGCAGCAUGAGGUAGCAAUACCUUGAUGGCGACCGGCGCACGGGUGAGUAACGCGUAUGCAACCUGCCCGAUACCGGGGUAUAGCCCAUGGAAACGUGGAUUAACACCCCAUAGUACUUUUCUCCUGCAUGGGAUGUGAGUUAAAUGUUCAAGGUAUCGGAUGGGCAUGCGUCCUAUUAGUUAGUUGGCGGGGUAACAGCCCACCAAGACGAUGAUAGGUAGGGGUUCUGAGAGGAAGGUCCCCCACAUUGGAACUGAGACACGGUCCAAACUCCUACGGGAGGCAGCAGUGAGGAAUAUUGGUCAAUGGACGUAAGUCUGAACCAGCCGAGUCGCGUGAGGGAAGACUGCCCUAUGGGUUGUAAACCUCUUUUAUAAGGGAAGAAUAAGUUCUACGUGUAGAAUGAUGCCUGUACCUUAUGAAUAAGCAUCGGCUAACUCCGUGCCAGCAGCCGCAGUAA
rnacentral:rRNA from 1 species